UACGUAGGGUGCAAGCGUUGUCCGGAAUUAUUGGGCGUAAAGAGCUCGUAGGCGGUCUGUCACGUCGGCUGUGAAAUCCCGAGGCUCAACCUCGGGUCUGCAGUCGAUACGGGCAAACUGGAGUGUUGCAGGGGAGACUGGAAUUCCUGGUGUAGCGGUGAAAUGCGCAGAUAUCAGGAGGAACACCGGUGGCGAAGGCGGGUCUCUGGGCAACAACUGACGCUGAGGAGCGAAAGCGUGGGGAGCGAACAGG
rnacentral:rRNA from 1 species